UACGAGAGGCCCAAACGUUAUUCGGAUUUACUGGGCUUAAAGAGUCCGUAGGCGGCGCAGAAAGUAGGGUGUGAAAUCCCUCGGCUUAACCGAGGAAUUGCGCCCUAAACUACUGUGCUCGAGGAACCUAGAGGUGAGCGGAACUGAUGGUGGAGCGGUGAAAUGCGUUGAUAUCAUCAGGAACACCGGAGGCGAAGGCGGCUCACUGGGGGUUUUCUGA
rnacentral:rRNA from 1 species